GACGAACGCUGGCGGCGUGCUUAACACAUGCAAGUCGAGCGUAGCGGCGAACGGGUGAGUAACGCGUGAGUAACUGCCCCCCUCUCUGGGAUAACAGUUGGAAACGGCUGCUAUUACCGGAUAGUGGGGGAUGACUCGCGUCCUAUCCACUUGUUGGGGGGGUAGGGGCCUACCAAGGCGGCGACGGGUAGCCGGCCUGAGAGGGCGAACGGCCACAUUGAGCUGAGAUACGGCCCAGACUACUACGUGAGGCAGCAGUGGGGAAUAUUGCACAAGGGGGGAAACCCUGAUGAAGCAGCGCCGCGUGCGGGAUGACGGCCUUCGGGUUGUAAACCGCUGUCAGCCAUGACGCGGUAGUGGCAGAAGAAGCACCGGCUAACUACGUGCCAGCAGCCGCGGUAAUUC
rnacentral:rRNA from 1 species